UUAAAAUAAGUUGGAUUAUACGUUUUCUUAAAAGUAUAUUUCUAGUUAAUAAAUUAUUACCCUUGGCAUUAGUCGGAAAGCAUUCCAAACUCAGGACAGACAGUGUGGUGGUCCUUCGGGGAGAAGUCCACUCUGAAAUACUUCGGUCUGUUUCUACCGAAACUUACCGGAUCAGCCGAUAGUAUUUAUCAACAACAAAAAAAGUUA
rnacentral:sRNA from 1 species